CAAUGCUGAAGAAUAGGGCUACCUACUUUUGAAAAGGGCUUUUAUGUGUUUGACAAUAAUUAAAAGUAUUCGACUUGGAGUUUAUUUCCCCCCCCCCAAAAAAUCACAACGUACACUGAGAAAAUAAAUUAUGAGGUAUGUCAAAACAUGUUUUCUGAGAGGGUGGGGUUUGUUAUGCUUGUGCCGUGGCAACUACCAAUGAGAGGAGCGUAUUUGAAAUACGUCAUGGAGCACCACUUUCGAAAUGUCCUAUUUGACAUGAACUGAGCUGAUCGUUACUAAACUAACUGGAUCUCAAGCCUUGACUACUUUUUCCUGCUGCUUGACUGUGGCUAAUAACAUUUUUAAAAAGAAGGGAAAAUGAACUCUGGAAAAGCACUGCAGUCGCUGUCUCACAACAAUCAACAGCCGCCGCCGCCGACACCAAGCCUGGCGAAAAGAAAGAAAAUUCAAGAUAAGUCUGCAAUAAGGAGUCCAACAGACAAUGUGAUGUCCCCAUGUACAAGACAGCUCAUGAAGAAAGCUAUCAAGGACAUACCGUCAUCUCCCAGACCCAGACGGAAAGCAAAAGAGAACACUGCAAAUAAAUGAAUGACCUUUUUAUGUACAGUGUGAUGUCUUUACGGUAUUCCUCUCUCUGCUAAAAUGGUCAGAUCAAUCAAUCAUUGACACUUUCCUGACAUUAUACUGUCUUAAGAUGUUCUUACUAACCAAGCUGCUCACACUUUAUUGAUCCAUUAUGCAAUAUGGUGUAUAUGGGGGGGGGUUAUAUUCCUCAUUAAUAUGGUGUAAAUGUGGGGGGGUUAUAUUCUUCAUUAAUAUGGUGUAUAUGGGGGGGGGGUUAUAUUCUUCAUUAAUAUGGUGUAUAUGGGGGGGGGUUGUUAUAUUCUUCAUCUAAAUCACACUGUUUGUGUUUUUCAUUGUUUUUCUUGUGAAUGUUUAAUGCUAUUUGCACUUUAGAGGACAUAUGCUGUUUAUUGUACACUGCUUUAAGUGGUGGAGGUGUUUAUUGUACACUGCUUUAAGUGGUGGGGGUGUUUAUUGUACACUGCUUUAAGUGGUGGGGUGUUUAUUGUACACUGCUUUAAGUGGUGGGGUGUUUAUUGUACACUGCUUUAAGUGGUGGGGGUGUUUAUUGUACACUGCUUUAAGUGGUGGGGGGUGUUUAUUGUACACUGCUUUAAGUGGUGGGGGUGUUUAUUGUACACUGCUUUAAGUGGUGGGGUGUUAUUGCUACACAUGCAUUUAAGUGGUGGGGGUGUUAUCUCAAACAAGUGUUCUGUAUGUAUGCCCUUUGCACAGGUUGACUUCCAUGGUUUUAAAAAAUUAAGUAGACUACUUUAUAUUCUGUUUGUACAUUGGCUUUAUGUUGCUCAGUUUUCAAUAUGUAACUAGCAAAAAAAGGACUUAGCUCACUGCUUUCAAUAAACAUAUUUGAUAUGGACGAGA